rnacentral:rRNA from 1 species
GGGUUGUGAGGUUAAGCGACUAAGCGUACACGGUGGAUGCCCUGGCAGUCAGAGGCGAUGAAGGACGUGCUAAUCUGCGAUAAGCGUCGGUGAGGUGAUAUGAACCGUUAUAACCGGCGAUUUCCGAAUGGGGAAACCCAGUGUGUUUCGACACACUAUCAUUAACUGAAUCCAUAGGUUAAUGAGGCGAACCGGGGGAACUGAAACAUCUAAGUACCCCGAGGAAAAGAAAUCAACCGAGAUUCCCCCAGUAGCGGCGAGCGAACGGGGAGGAGCCCAGAGCCUGAAUCAGUGUGUGUGUUAGUGGAAGCGUCUGGAAAGGCGUGCGAUACAGGGUGACAGCCCCGUACACAAAAAUGCACAUAUUGUGAGCUCGAUGAGUAGGGCGGGACACGUGGUAUCCUGUCUGAAUAUGGGGGGACCAUCCUCCAAGGCUAAAUACUCCUGACUGACCGAUAGUGAACCAGUACCGUGAGGGAAAGGCGAAAAGAACCCCGGCGAGGGGAGUGAAAAAGAACCUGAAACCGUGUACGUACAAGCAGUGGGAGCCUCUUAAUGGGGUGACUGCGUACCUUUUGUAUAAUGGGUCAGCGACUUAUAUUCUGUAGCAAGGUUAACCGAAUAGGGGAGCCGAAGGGAAACCGAGUCUUAACUGGGCGUUAAGUUGCAGGGUAUAGACCCGAAACCCGGUGAUCUAGCCAUGGGCAGGUUGAAGGUUGGGUAACACUAACUGGAGGACCGAACCGACUAAUGUUGAAAAAUUAGCGGAUGACUUGUGGCUGGGGGUGAAAGGCCAAUCAAACCGGGAGAUAGCUGGUUCUCCCCGAAAGCUAUUUAGGUAGCGCCUCGUGAAUUCAUCUCCGGGGGUAGAGCACUGUUUCGGCAAGGGGGUCAUCCCGACUUACCAACCCGAUGCAAACUGCGAAUACCGGAGAAUGUUAUCACGGGAGACACACGGCGGGUGCUAACGUCCGUCGUGAAGAGGGAAACAACCCAGACCGCCAGCUAAGGUCCCAAAGUCAUGGUUAAGUGGGAAACGAUGUGGGAAGGCCCAGACAGCCAGGAUGUUGGCUUAGAAGCAGCCAUCAUUUAAAGAAAGCGUAAUAGCUCACUGGUCGAGUCGGCCUGCGCGGAAGAUGUAACGGGGCUAAACCAUGCACCGAAGCUGCGGCAGCGACACUAUGUGUUGUUGGGUAGGGGAGCGUUCUGUAAGCCUGUGAAGGUGGCCUGUGAGGGUUGCUGGAGGUAUCAGAAGUGCGAAUGCUGACAUAAGUAACGAUAAAGCGGGUGAAAAGCCCGCUCGCCGGAAGAC